UGGAAGGUGGCUCAGUGGUAGAGUGCUUGCCUUGCAUGCAUGAGGGCUUGGGUUCAAUUUCUUACCACAUAA
rnacentral:tRNA from 1 species